rnacentral:rRNA from 1 species
AUUGAACGCUGGCGGCAUGCCUUACACAUGCAAGUCGAACGGUAACAGGUCUUCGGAUGCUGACGAGUGGCGAACGGGUGAGUAAUACAUCGGAACGUGCCCGAUCGUGGGGGAUAACGAAGCGAAAGCUUUGCUAAUACCGCAUACGAUCUACGGAUGAAAGCAGGGGACCGCAAGGCCUUGCGCGAACGGAGCGGCCGAUGGCAGAUUAGGUAGUUGGUGGGAUAAAAGCUUACCAAGCCGACGAUCUGUAGCUGGUCUGAGAGGACGACCAGCCACACUGGGACUGAGACACGGCCCAGACUCCUACGGGAGUCAGCAGUGGGGAAUUUUGGACAAUGGGCGAAAGCCUGAUCCAGCCAUGCCGCGUGCAGGAUGAAGGCCUUCGGGUUGUAAACUGCUUUUGUACGGAACGAAAAGACUCUUUCUAAUAAAGAGGGUCCAUGACGGUACCGUAAGAAUAAGCACCGGCUAACUACGUGCCAGCCGCCGCGGUAAAAC